rnacentral:rRNA from 1 species
GAAUACCGAAGAAUGUUAUCACGGGAGACACACGGCGGGUGCUAACGUCCGUCGUGAAGAGGGAAACAACCCAGACCGCCAGCUAAAGGUCCCAAAGUCGAUGGUUAAGUGGGAAACGAAGUGGGAAGGCUCAGACAGCCAGGAUGUUGGCUUAGAAGUACAGCCAUCAUUUAAAGAAAGCGUAAUAGCUCACUGGUCGAGUCGGCCGCGCGGAAGAUGUAAGGGGGCUAAACCAUGCACCGAAGCUGCGGCAGCGACACUAUGUGUUGUUGGGUAGGGGAGCGUUCUGUAAGCCUGCGAAGGUGUACUGUGAGGUAUGCUGGAGGUAUCAGAAGUGCGAAUGCUGACAUAAGUAACGAUAAU